rnacentral:rRNA from 1 species
UACGGAGGGAGCUAGCGUUGUUCGGAAUUACUGGGCGUAAAGCGCGUGUAGGCGGCCUCCUCAGUCUGGUGUGAAAGCCCGGGGCUCACCCCCGGAAGUGCCUUUGAUACUGAGGAUCUCGAGUCCGGGAGAGGUGAGUGGAACUCCGAGUGUAGAGGUGAAAUGCGUAGAUAUACGGAGGAACACCAGCGGCGAAGGCGGGUAGCUGGGCCAACACUGACGCUGAUGCGCGAAAGCCAGGGGAGCAAACGGG